GGCUACGGCCAUAUCACGAUGAAUGCACCUCAUCCCGUCCGAUUGAGAAGUUAAGCAUCGUCGAGCCAC
rnacentral:rRNA from 1 species